rnacentral:rRNA from 1 species
UGAACGCUGGCGGCGUGCCUCAUACAUGCACGUCGCGCGAACAGACGCGGAGCUUGCUCCUCUGACGUUAGCGGCGGACGGGUGAGUAACACGUGGAUAACCUACCUAUAAGACUGGGAUAACUUCGGGAAACCGGAGCUAAUACCGGAUAAUAUAUUGAACCGCAUGGUUCAAUAGUGAAAGACGGUUUUGCUGUCACUUAUAGAUGGAUCCGCGCCGCAUUAGCUAGUUGGUAAGGUAACGGCUUACCAAGGCGACGAUGCGUAGCCGACCUGAGAGGGUGAUCGGCCACACUGGAACUGAGACACGGUCCAGACUCCUACGGGAGGCAGCAGUAGGGAAUCUUCCGCAAUGGGCGAAAGCCUGACGGAGCAACGCCGCGUGAGUGAUGAAGGUCUUCGGAUCGUAAAACUCUGUUAUUAGGGAAGAACAAAUGUGUAAGUAACUAUGCACGUCUUGACGGUACCUAAUCAGAAAGCCACGGCUAACUACGUG